rnacentral:antisense_RNA from 1 species
GGCCCUUGCCCGGCCCUGGAAAAGAAUCAGGAUGCAGACAGUAUUCUGGCAUUGAGUGAGGGGAGGGUUUAGCAUCCUCUCAGCCCAGACCCUGGGAUUCUCAGCUUCUACCCAAACAUGGAAUCUCCUACCAGUGGCCACUCCCCCAGGGGUGGAGACCACACUCCUGGAGCGGGCAGUGAGCCAGAGAGCAGCCAGCAGCCUGUGCGGACUCAGGGCUGGGCUCUGAGCCCUUCUGUCACCGGGAGAAAGCUGGAGGUCUCCAGUAUCCUGGGACCCCACUCCCCCACCCUCACAGGCACUGUGCUUCUCAGGGUGCUGAGAACCUUCCCUGCGGAUUCUCUUGGGUGAAACUCACAGUGGCCUGGGAAGAAAGGCUCAUGGGGAGACUGAGCUAGCUUCACAGAUGGAGUUAAGUGGGGAGAGGGAGGUAAAUGCAAAAGCUCUUUGAAAACCUAACUGCAUUUGGUAAAUUGGAAAAGGGCUUUCUAAACCAUCUGUGGGGCACAUCAUAAAGUUCUUUGUGUGGAGC